UGGGGAAUUUUGGACAAUGGGCGCAAGCCUGAUCCAGCCAUGCCGCGUGUCUGAAGAAGGCCUUCGGGUUGUAAAGGACUUUUGUCAGGGAAGAAAAGGCUGUUGCUAAUACCGACAGCUGAUGACGGUACCUGAAGAAUAAGCACCGGCUAACUACGUGCCAGCAGCCGCGGUAAUACGUAGGGUGCGAGCGUUAAUCGGAAUUACUGGGCGUAAAGCGAGCGCAGACGGUUACUUAAGCAGGAUGUGAAAUCCCCGGGCUCAACCUGGGAACUGCGUUCUGAACUGGGUGACUAGAGUGUGUCAGAGGGAGGUAGAAUUCCACGUGUAGCAGUGAAAUGCGUAGAGAUGUGGAGGAAUACCGAUGGCGAAGGCAGCCUCCUGGGAUAACACUGACGUUCAUGCUCGAAAGCGUGGGUAGCAAACAGGAUUAGAUACCCUGGUAGUCCACGCCCUAAACGAUGUCAAUUAGCUGUUGGGCAACUUGAUUGCUUAGUAGCGUAGCUAACGCGUGAAAUUGACCGCCUGGGGAGUACGGCCGCAAGGUUG
rnacentral:rRNA from 1 species